AAUCAGUCUCUUUGUGUGGAAUGGUGAAUUACAUCCAGACCAUAUUUUAAAAUGAGGUCAAGUGAUUAGACCAAAAACAGGAUAUGAAAAUAAAAUUGAAGUUGUUCUUUAUUAACCGUGACCUCAGUAGUCCACAGUGGUUUGGCUUAUUGAUUUCUAAUGUUAAUGUGGUUUGAACUUCUUACUAAGCUCUGAAGAAUGUUCUUUCAACAGAACCAUAUCUAUUAAAUGAGUCAUUUGCUCUUUAAAACUAGAUAGCUUUACAGCACAGCAUGCCAUAAGCCUCCUAACGUCUCGCCAAUUGUCCGGCAGGAUUGUUGAUGUAUACAGAGAAACUUUAAAGGGAUGCUGACAGGAGAGUUUCAUCAUCUGUAAAUAGCCUUAUUAAGGCUCAGGCAAAAAAUCCCCUUGGGUUUUUUAAGUGUGAAUUCUUGCUAUGACUGUGUGUCAGUACCUUAUUUUCCAGUCUGUCCUAGUUUGUUAUUGCAGAACAUCCUAGUGUUGCUCAACUGCUGAUUAUUUUUUAGUUGGUUUAGUUUGUUUUUGGUUUUUUUUAAAUAAAUCAAACAUGAACUAGAAGACACUCUGAAAGAAACCUAAGGAAAGAGAGUGAAAUCAAUCUGCAGACUAACACAGAGGAGCAUCCUUUUAAAAUGUUUUUAUAAUGUCACAGAUAUGCUUUCAUAAUCCUCUUAGAGUGAAAAAGAGAAAAAAGACUAGGCUUGCAUAUGUAACAGGCCAGUCUAUCACUCCUGAACGCACCACAGUUUCUCUGUCACACCACGUGUACAGCAAACCCCAUUGCAAUGAAUGGGUACAAUAUCAUAAUAAUGAUUUGUCCACAUUUUACAAGAAACACUACAAACUCCUUCCAUAAAAAUCACUAUUUUUCGUCUCUAGGAAAGUUCUCAGAAAUACCCAAGCUGCACUUCCUAGAGUGAUGUGGAAAUACUCAGUUACUGUUGAUGGCAUGAAUCCAUUAGUUGCUGUUGUUGUGAAUGACAGUGAGCAUUCUAAGCUCAUUCUAAGCUGUGCUGACACUAAAUGCAGAUGCUCAGAGGCAUCAGAGUUGCAGAUACACCUGCACCUUCUCCUUGAAGGGAGUAUGCCAGAAAUAUCAAAAGGCUGUCUAGUGUCUAAUACUUGAUUUGAUGGGAAUACAGAUGAGAGCAAGGUAAUUGCUGGCAGAGAUACUCUGGGCUUCUGAUGGAGACAGGUUGUUUUUACCCAAUGUUCACAAUCAAAUCUUUCUUCCCCACUCAUGAGGGCUGUUUUUUUCCUCCUGCUCCUGUUGUGGAGCUUUGAGCAGCUUCCUAAAUUGCAUGGUCCCAUCUGGCACCUGAGGAAAGUGCCAUUUUCCCUAGCAUCUUGCAGAUUAUUUUAUGAGUCCUUUUGUUACAGACAAGUCUCCCAUUCCUGUAAUGAGUACCCAGCUGGCUUGCAGGCUCCCUGCUCUCUUUUGCUCCCCUUCCUGCACUGGCUUCAUCUGGCCCACGUGCUGCAGCUGCUCACUUGCAUGCUGGAGUAAAUCAGGAAGCCCCUGUGCUGUUCUCCUUUCAAACUGUCCACUCUUUACACUGGGUGCCACAUCCAGACCACGCUUUUGCCAAAGAAAGGUUGGACCAAAUGAUCCUUGAGGUCACUUCCCACCUGGAUUCUGUGAAAUACAAGAGAUUAUGUCCUUCUGCCUUACCUAAGUGUUUCUGAAACGUUUGCUUGUGGUCAUUUGAUGGUAACUCUGGGCAAUCUGGUGUUACCAGUACUGAGCACAAACUGUGGAUCACAGCUGGAAAUGCAGGAAAUCAAGUGGGUUUGAAAAAAUGUAAACAGCUUUGUCUCAUUAAAGUCAUCUGAAGGGAAAAGUGGCACAAGAAACUUCACAUACUUUGAGGAAAGGCUUAUUUCUUGGCCACAUGAUCUUCACUGACUAAAUAUGACUUUUUCUGUUCCCUUUUUUUUAAAUAUAUGGUUUUAGUUUUAAACUUUUGCAGAAGGCAUGAGAUGAUUCAAACUCUUUUGUAGAACUUUUUCUGGUGGCAGACAAAUAAAUUCAGGGUUCCCAGGUUAUUUUGGAGGUAACCAUGGGAGAUAUAUCUAUAUUUAAAGUGCAUGAAGUAUCUUUUCUAAUGUCCAAAGCAGUGGCCUGUACAGCUGAAUAGCUAUCCCUUUGAAAGUAUAUUUAACUCCCAAUAUGUAUUAAGUAUUCUACUGUCUAAAAAUGCCCUUCUCUAUGAACCUUUUAUAACUGGGGCUUCAUGUUCCAACUCUGAGCAGGAAGUAUGGAGAAUUCUGGUUUUUAAUGAGGCUACUUUUUGUUCUCUUAAAAUAAUCUGAUGACCUUAAACUUGCUAAGACAACAUUUCCAGAAAAGUAAAUGCUCUCUUUCAUCUCUAAGUGCAUUUACAUCAUUUGGUCUGUAUGGAUUCAGAAGGUUGAAAGUCCGUUUUUUCAUACAGGCAGAGAUAUUUUUUCCUCCCCUGUGAGGAACCACAUUUCCUUUUGAAUCUGUUGCACUUACUGCCAAUUAACAGGACUUAAAAUUUGUGACAGAAAUUUUAGCUGGAAGGAAAAUGUGGAGGUCAUCAGGCCCAACCUCCUGAAGCAGCACUGCCAUUUUAUCAUGUUAGGUAUGGCUUUGUCUAGCUAAGUCUUACAAACCUAAGGCUUCCUCCAAGGACAGAUGUUCCACAACCUCCCUGAGUACCCUGUGUUAUCCCCCACUAAAGCUGGAAGUUUUUUUCUAAUGUCCAUCCCAGCCACAAUCUGUGGAUGUUCCCCCUUGCUAGCAAUACCAGAAUUUUGGCUCCUUUCAUUUGUGUAAAUACUGCAAAAAUAGUUGUAGAUUAUUAUUAAAUCAUCCCUUAGUCUCUUUAUCAGAUUAAACAAGAUUAAACAAUUCAAUUCUCUCAACUGCCGCUUUUUCCUUAAGGCUGGCUCCUGACCAUUUUAGCAGUUCUCUGCUGCUCUCUCUCCAGUUUUUUAUCAUCCGUCUCAUACUGGGAGACCAAAAAAGAGCACAAUAUUCCAGUUGAAGCUUUACCAGACAGUUAUUUAACCCAAUUUUCCAGGGACAUGCAGCAUACCUGUAGUUUCUACCCUGUUCCUUCUCUUUCCCACCAACCUCAAUGCUCUCUGGACAUGCAGCUUUUUUAUUUUUUUUCCUUUUGUUACUGCUGAGAGUUUGCCUGGCUAUGGCUUGGGGGAAGCAGAUGCUUUGAUGCUUUGCUAUUGAUGUAAUCUGUGGAGGUGGCCACAAAGUCACCUCUGCAGAGGCACACAUACUCUUGAUAGACACAGUCAAAAAUGUUGGUGUUGGGCAGAAGCUGAACUAGAAAAACACACAUGUACACUUUCUGUGAGAUGGACAUUCACUGAAACUCCCCAGAGGAGUGUGGUUACUGAAAGAAAAAUAAACUUCUUUAAUUCAAGGUUGUUUCCAAACAUGCUGUUGCUAUUGGUUGCAAAUCCAAGAAGAGUGCUUGGUAGCAAUCCUCUCACUUGUGUUUCUGCUACAGAUUCUCAAAGAUCUGUCUGGAUGAAGCCUCCUAUAUCUGAACUCACCAUGUACAUUUUCUUAAUAGCUGGAGAAGGAAAACAAGGGUUUGCAGAAGGUGGUUCAGCUGAAUGAUAUCCCAGAGCUCCUCUGAAGAGAGUCACCCACUGACAGUUCCUUUCUCUCUCCUUUCAACACAAGAGGAGCACCAGAAAAGGAGCACAGGUGUGUAGUUCAACACUACAGUAUGCUUUCUGGAGUUCUUAAUUUUUCAUUGCUUUUGUUGCCUUUGAUGUUUAAAUGAAUGGUAUGAAGAUCUUGAACAAAAUGCAAAACACCCUGACCUGCUUUAGCUACAAGCUAGAUCAGUGUUUGGAUUAUUUGAAGUCAGUCUGUUUUGUGUUUGACACAAGGUGUUAUCCUUGAAGGUGAUUUUCCACUUUGAGUCAAUGAAAACAGGAGAUGUGAGAUGCACUCACCCAGUUUAUCUUAGCUGAAACAAAUUUGAAGCAUUGUUGGAUGCCUCAGUAAAUGAUAUACAAUCAUCUGGAAACAGGCUUCUGCAAAACAGGUUUUCUAUCCUUUUUGGACACACAGUUCUGAGGAGCAGAGUUCAGCUGGAUUAACCUGAUGAUUUUAAAGUAAAAUCUAGUGGAGGCUCUAACAGAGUAUCUAAUAAACAAAGUAACUUUGAGCCUCAUCUACUAGUGUGUUAUUCUAGUUUGCUUCUGGAGUAAUUCACUUCACUUAACCUUACUAUGCUUUAUAUUAGCUUCAAACUACAGCUAUUCAUUGUUGAAUCAAGUCCUGUGUUUUGAUCAAGAUACAGACAACUGUAUUUUUAAAAGUGCUGAGUCUUUGUUUGUUUUGGAAGAUGUUAAAACAUGUUAAAGAAAAUUAGUUCUAGGCUGAAUAUUUGUAUGACAAGUUCUGCCUACAGCAAAUCUCUAUGACUGAGCUGCAGAUCUCUCACAAUAAGAUUUCAAAUUGGAAUUUUUAUGCAAGUCUUAACACUUGUUAUACCAGAGGAUGUUGCCAUAAUAAUAAGUGGAAUAACAGAGUGUUGUCACACUGCAGUGCAUUUCUGACCUCUGUUUCAUCUUGUGAGACAAAUUGAUCCUCAAACAUUAAGGCCAUAAAGGAUUAUCUGAGGGAAAGUGUUUUCUGGAUACUUGUAAUGAAACUCAAUAUGCCACAUGAUUCAAGUAAAUUAAUUCAUUGUUGUGACCAGCUUGUAAAUGACAGUGCAAAAGCAAAAUGCAAAGGAGAAAGCACCACCAAAUAAAAAAAUAGGCAAUACUAGGGAUUUUUUACCUAUGCCUUUGUUUUACACUCCACAGGUAAAACUUUCCAAAGAGGAGAAAUAUACAAAACUCAACGACUCUGUGUUGAGUUGAAAUUAAAUCUUCUGGUUAUUUCUAAUGCACAAUAAUGUGAAACAAUGGAGCAUUUCUGGGUUUUCCCUCUCCAAAGGAGCCAUCAGCAGCCAAAUACUGCAGCCAAACACAGGGUAGUGGUGCUGUCCUUGUUACUGCAGGGCCGGCUGGUGCUCAGAGUCCCUCUGGCUGUGCAGGAACUGGAGAGAAGGGGAGCUACUGGGAUACACCAUUACAUUUGUGCCUCCAUAGCACCAACAUUCUGAAUCACCUCUGCAUCUUUUUCAUACUCAGUUGAUCAUGUUACUGAAGUUGUUUGGAUCAUUCUUCAAGGUAAUGGAAAUUAUGGUGGGGAACAGAGCCAGGAUCACAAGAGCCAGAGUAGCUGAAAGAGCAACAGGUCUGCCUGCCUCCCCCUCUUCAUGCCCUGGGCUUCCUUGCUGCAGCCUGGGAUACGUGCCAGGGAUUGGAAUCCCAGCAGGCUGGAGUGACUCACCCACCAACAUGUCGAGAGGCUAAGGCUCACCCUCCCUCCCAUUUAUACCUAUGGAAGAUUUUGGCUGGGAGUGUAGUUAUUUUGACUUACUAAACUGGGGCUGUGCUUGGGGCAGGCCAGGCUGCUGCAGUUUAUUCUCCUUUCAUCAGAGCCUGGAGAGAACUGCACGCACUCCCUAAAUAGAAACAGGCAUCAAAAAGCACUGCCCUCAAUCUGGCAGGAAACACCAUCGUGCCUUUGAUGUAAACUGGUGCUGGGGCAGGAAAACUUGCCCAGCUCUGUGGAACCUGAGUUCUCUCACUCCCUCCAGAAGACAGAGGGCAGAGCAUCUUUGGUUUUGCUGAUAGAGCCCAUUACCCCACAGGUGAGUGUACUGGUGCCAGGCACAAAUGAUCCAUAAUCCAACAGUGAUUAUGGAAACAAUGUGCAUGAAAUCCCCUGUGAAGACACCAUAUUUGUUUCUCCGAAAUGAGUUUCUUUUUGCAAGGCUAAUUUUAGCCUAUAAAAUAUUUCUUCAUUUAUGAGUAUUUCUCCAGUAGCAGAGACGUGUUUAUGAGGGGAUGCAUCAAUUUAUCUGUCAAACCUCUCAGGAGACUCUCCUAUUGGCACUUCCCUGUAUUUCAUUUGAUUUCACCUUCUUCUCGUGUUCUCCACCAUUUCAGAGAUGAAGGCUCUUUUGAACAUACACUUCUCAGUGCCUAGAUCUGAUUAACCAGUGUAAGGUAGGUAACCAAGUAUUAGGUGAAUGUUUUAAGGGAAAACUUACAUCAUUUUAAGCAACUGCAACUCAAUGAGCUGCAAAAAGAACCAGGGGUUCUGUUACUCUUGGUUUUCUCCAAAAAUGUCCAGAGCAGAGUUGAGAGUUUCAAAACUGGAGGAGUCUUUCUCUGCUCUUUCUGUUCACCACUUGAUGGAAAAACUUUCACCUUUUGUCCUUACCCCUCUAAUGAAAUCCCAGCACUCUUAGUCAGGUGAUCUACUUUGAUUCGCUUGCAAAAUGAAAUCAAUAAUCUCAUUUAAAAGACUUGCUGAAGGCAGGGAAUCUCCCUCAUAUUGGACAUGCUAUCAGAGAAGAAUCUUCCAUUCUGGAUGCAACCUGACCUCCAGCCUGUAAGGAUAACUAGCCUGAGAGAGCAUGAGGGAUUUAGUGGCAAAAUCAAAUGCGUGAAGAGAUUGUGAUAAGAGCUCUGUGCUGUUACCGAAGAGUUAUUAGGAUUAUACCACAUUGCAGCUUUUCCGUCACACAAUUUUUCCACAGAUUUUCUAAAUAAUUGUGUUGGAGCCAAUAUACACAGGGUGAUGUAAGGUACAGAUGGGAGAAUGUGUUGACACACUGAAAGCAUAAGUAGCAAAAAGACGUGGUGUUUCUCUUGCCUCAUUGCACACAGACGACAGUCACAGUCACAGUGUCUCUGGGAAAUCAUGAGUUUCUUUGAUUAUGACUGAGAAAACGUCUAUUUCCCAUUUUCAUAAACCUGUUUCAGGCACUGCUGCAGGAGAAAACCAAACCAGCUGAAGCCUGAAUGCAAUCCUAGUGCAGAAACCUGCGCCGUUCUCCCCCAGCCAUUCUGUUAUUAAGUACAAAUUCACACUGCAAGCCUCCUGGUAGAAACCUGUUUUGGAAUUGGGAGCCACACUGUACCUGACUUCUAGUCUAAAUCAAGUUCCAAUCUUUUAGAGAAGGAAUACAAGAGUUUUCCAAGGCUAGAUUUGGGACCAGACUUUUAUAUUUUAUAAUAAUCCCUAGCAGUUUAUCAAAUGUCCUUUUGGAUUUAGAGAGUGUAGAUUUCACAGAGUGACUUCAUCUCCUGAGGCCUCAUGAAGAGCUCAUUGACAGUCUGGGAGUAAACUGCACCACUGCUGAGGGAAAUACGACACUCAAAGAUAAAGGAGAGUGCAAGUAAGGGACAAAAAAACCCAACUCUACUUUGUGAAUCUGUAAACUAUCAGAUUUACUGAGGUGCCGUCUCCACCUCUCCAGUUACUAUCUUGUGGGAGGGUGCAGGGUCCUAUGCAGUCCCCAUGCUGCAUUUGCAGCUGCACAGUCCAAGUGGUCCCAGACAAGUAACUCCUUCACAGCUGUCAGCUAACAGAUCUGAGAGCCCUGUGAUGAUCCUGAAGCCUCAUUGCACCUGAUACAGCAAGAGCAUUUGAACUCUCUGUUCCUCCUUAUCUAACCCCCACUGACUGUAGUGGAGCUGGCUGCUUCCCUGUUUGCUGUGCCUUUGAGGUCCUUCAUAAAUAACAUCAGUUCUUUAGAUAGGGGGUCAAGCUGGCAGCUGAUGUAAAGCCCAUAGGGCUGGGCAAUGAAAGCAGAUUCCUCAGCACAGAGUCACUCUCACCUGUUCUCUGGAUGUCCUGCAGUGCAAACACUCUGCCUCCACUUUGCCUGUUUGUAGGGUGUUCAUCUGGGCUGUUACUGAGCUGAUGUUGGCUUCAUUGUUUAAGGCACGAGCAAGAGUUGUGCACACAUCUCGGGGGAGAUUCAAAGUGAGUUGACUGUGAACGUCUAGGAUUUUUUUUUAAAUAGAAGGUGAAGGCUAGGGGAAUGCAAGUUCAGCUACACAACAGGGAGGCAAUGGAGAGCAUGGGAGUGACAGGGUCUGCUCAGUUCUUCCUCCUGGAGCUCUGGCCUGAUGUGUUUUUACACAACAGCCUCCCAUGGGGGUCCCAUGUGGCUUCCCAUCCCAGGUGGAGCAGGCUGUGGUUCCUCCCAGGAGCACCCAAAAUGCAGAUUGCCUUAGCCAGGCUUGACACAAGCACCACUACUGUGCAUAAAGGCAUACCAAAUUUGUUUUAAGAAUGAAAAAGCAGUGACACAACUCAUUAAUACCAGACAUCCAGCUUGUUCCCCAAGCUAUUCCUCUUCCCUGAACACCUGAUUUCUGCUGCUUGAAGCUGCAGACAGCUGAGGUAGUGAUGGACUUUAAAUGAGUGUUGUCUCAGUGUUUUCUCUUCCUGUGCCAGAGCUCUGGACAGCCAGACCUGGGAGGGGAAAUUGGAUUAAACUGAGCAGGAGGUGGAGAGACCAUUCUGCAGGCCAGAGCCACUGCCUUCCCCAUCAUAUAUCCUGUUGACAACCUGCUCCAAGCCUGAGCUUUAGGGCUCCCUCUUGACCCUGGAGAAGCCCUGGGCCAGAUUUGGAUGGUUCCAUUGAUCUGUAAUUGAACCUCUACCUGUUAACAGCUUCAAUGCACUUUGAUAUGAAUUGGAGUCAGGGAAAAGUUAUAUGGAAAUCUGUUGUUUCUUUUUUUCUCAUGAUGAUGAAAGAUGAACAAUGCAUAAAGCUUUGUUUUCUCUCUAGUGCAGGAGCUGAACAACAAACUGAAUUUCAUCUGAGAUCAGCCAAGAAGAAGAAGCUGAUUUUUGCCUUUGAAGCCUAAACAUUGAUCAUUAAAUAAAUGAUGCUAUUACUUUCUUCAGGUGCAUGGAAGGAACCUUUGCAGCCACAAUAACAGAUGUCCUAUUGUUUCUUGGUUAUUUCAUGUUGUACAAAGCAACUACUCCUAUUUAUAUAAUGUGAAAUGUUGUAGCCACUGGAGUUUUCUGUCUGGCUGAUCCUGCAUUAAUUUACAAUGAGCAUUAGUCUUGUGAUUUAUGGACUGCCAGAUUCCCUGAGUAGAAUAACUUCCUUGAAGAAAGCUUCUCACCCACAGGAUGGCUCAGACAGAGAGUUUCACUUGUCUCUGCCAGCUCCAGCAUGGGAUCUUGAAACAAGAAAAGGGCAGGCAAGAUGUGGUGCCUCCCUUGGACACAUGGGAUCUGUCCAGCCCCAAAGGGAAACUACAGCCUUCCUCACUUCCAGACUGAAGAGCUCCUCUCUAGUUUUCUAAUUCAGCAUUGUGGUCUCUGGCCUCAGACGUCUCUGCAACAGUGAAAGCCUUGUAGAACACUUGAAAAUUUCGCCAGCACCUGCAUAGGAGUGCUGCCUGUAUAGGGUUUGUGUGGAUUGUUGCCCAGCAGCUAAUGCACAGGCAUGCAGAUAACUCAAAAAAAGGCUAUUGAGAAAAGCCAGUGCAGUAAGAAAUAUCCAAAUCUACAUGGCAAUGCCUUGGAAUAAUGUUUGCAUGCCAGCAAAUACAACAACUUCACUAGCUUGACUUGAAUUUCUUCAAAAAGAAAUAUCCAAGUAGCUUUUUAUUGACAGGUUUUUAUAUCAUUCCUCUUCUAGUACUGGAAAAUCAGGAACUCAAAUAAAGCAAGAGUUCUGUGUGGUGCUUUCCUCUUCAUUUUCCUAAGUUUUCUAUAAAUAGUACAGCUUGGGGAUUGCUGAUACCUAACUAUAUAGUUGGGCUGCUGCAGUUCCCCUAUACAAGAGAUUAUAUUUUUUUUAAGCAUUUCUUUUUCUGUAAUUGCCCAUAGCAGAUGGUUAGAAUUUGGCAUCUGGAGAGAUGCUGAUCUACAGAUAUACCUUGUCUUCACCCACAAGAGUCUGUUCUAGAAUUAGGUCACUUAUAACUGCUACAGAUGUUAUUUCCCUUCAUUAACCUUCUCCAAAGUUGGCAGCAACACAAAAAAUAAGGGAACAUGGCCAUUGCUAGGUGCAGGUUUCAGCACCUGCAGGUGCUAGAGGUGGUGAAGGAUGGAGAGAGAGCUAAACCCUGCCCACACCUCUCAAACUUUCCAGGCAGCUGGGCUGGAUUUAGGCAUCUGGGCUGGCUUCCAGAGGCUGCCAUCAGCCAUUGCUGCAGAGGGGCACUGCUGGCUGUGGGCUGGUCUGGAGAGCACCACUCUGCCUCUGACCACAGGAGCCCAGCCCCACAGAGCACAUGGGGCUGUGGGAGGGAAGGCUCACCGCUGUCUAGUGGAAAAAAUUGUUUAAACACACUUCUGCUUGAAAAUGUUGGUUCUGCCCUGUUGAAGAUGGGGGUCCAUUGCAGUCUGAUCACACAUGAUUUGUCCCAGGACCUUUGCCUCCUGCAGUAGAGGCUGGCCAGAUAAAAGGGCAGAAAUUCUGCAGCUAAGACUCUGUAUUUUUGUUUGAUUUUUAAUGACUUUGUGGUACAACACAAACAGUUGUCUUCAAGAUGACUAGACAGCAGGCAGUAUGGUAAAGUGGAUGAAACUAGCAGGAUAACUUCAGAGAUAAUCAUCUCUCAAGUAAUUUCCUAUGCAAUACCUGAAGGGAUAGCAGUGGGAUAAUAGCAAUAAUCAAUGUGAGUACCUUACAGGUAGAAUUUAUCAUGUACCUUAAUAAAUUCCAAAGCCCUA